ACACUAGGCUUGAUUCUGUUCUCACCCUGGUAUAAGGGGAACAUAGGUGCUGGAACUUGGGGUGCUACCACACCCCUUAGCUUGAAGUGGUUUCCAUCAUAUACAGGGUUUACAGUUUGGUUCAAUGGCUCUCCCUACCCCCACUAUAC